rnacentral:rRNA from 1 species
UACGAGGGGAGCUAGCGUUAUUCGGAAUUACUGGGCGUAAAGCGCACGUAGGCGGCUUUGUAAGUAAGAGGUGAAAGCCUGGAGCUCAACUCCAGAACUGCCUUUUAGACUGCAUCGCUUGAAUCCAGGAGAGGUGAGUGGAAUUCCGAGUGUAGAGGUGAAAUUCGUAGAUAUUCGGAAGAACACCAGUGGCGAAGGCGGCUCACUGGACUGGUAUUGACGCUGAGGUGCGAGAGCGUGGGGAGCAAACAGG